UACAGAGGUCCCAAGCGUUGUUCGGAUUCACUGGGCGUAAAGGGUGCGUAGGUGGUGGGGUAAGUCGGAUGUGAAAGCUCGGAGCUCAACUCCGAAAUGGCAUUGGAAACUACCCUGCUAGAGGAUUGGAGGGGGGACUGGAAUACUUGGUGUAGCAGUGAAAUGCGUAGAGAUGUGGAGGAACACCAGUGGCGAAGGCGGCUUUCUGGUCUGUAACUGACGCUGAGGCGCGAAAGCGUGGGGAGCAAACAGG
rnacentral:rRNA from 1 species